GCAGCGGCGGCGCGGUUGCGAUUCCGAGCCGUUGAGACGCCUCUGCGGCAGCUGGUGGCGCAGGUGGCUUGCGUGGACGCGGGUAGAGGCGACCGGCCAGCAACCGCAGCGUCGGCGCCCGCGGCCCCGGCAGCAGGCGCGUCGGGACGCCCCGAGGCAUCCUCCCCCGCCCGCGGGCCCGGUAGCUGGGCCCGCGUCCGCCGCCCGCAUCCCCGCGCCGCCGCAUCUCCUCGCCGCCUCCCGGGCUUCGGACCCCCGGUCUCGCCCCCGAAACAUGACUCGCGAUUUCAAACCUGGAGACCUCAUCUUCGCCAAGAUGAAAGGUUAUCCCCAUUGGCCAGCUCGAGUAGACGAAGUUCCUGAUGGAGCUGUAAAGCCACCCACAAACAAACUACCCAUUUUCUUUUUUGGAACUCAUGAGACGUAAGUCCUGACCAAAGGAUAUAUUUCCUUACUCAGAAAAUAAGGAAAAGUAUGGCAAACCAAAUAAAAGAAAAGGUUUUAAUGAAGGUUUAUGGGAGAUAGAUAACAAUCCAAAAGUGAAAUUUUCAAGUCAACAGGUAACAACUAAACAAUCAAAUGCAUCAUCUGAUGUUGAAGUUGAAGAAAAGGAAACUAGUGUUUCAAAGGAAGAUACCGACCAUGAAGAAAAAGCCAGCAAUGAGGUAUGUUCUAUUUCUCCUAACAUUUUAAACCCAUUUUGUUUCAAGGAAGAAAUAAUGAAAUGAUAGAAACUGAGGAGGCAGGAGUAGUGACAACAGCAACAGCAUCUGUUAAUCUAAAAGUGAGUCCUAAAAGAGGACGACCUGCAGCUACAGAAGUCAAGAUUCCAAAACCAAGAGGCAGACCCAAAAUGGUAAAACAGCCCUGUCCUUCAGAGAGUGACAUCAUUACUGAAGAGGACAAAAGUAAGAAAAAGGGGCAAGAGGAAAAACAACCUAAAAAGCAGCCUAAGAAGGAUGAAGAGGGCCAGAAGGAAGAAGAUAAGCCAAGAAAAGAGCCGGAUAAAAAAGAGGGGAAGAAAGAAGUUGAAUCAAAAAGGAAAAAUUUAGCUAAAACAGGGGUUACUUCAACCUCCGAUUCUGAAGAAGAAGGAGAUGAUCAAGAAGGUGAAAAGAAAAGGUGGGAGGAACUUUCAGACUGCUCACAGAAGGAAUAUGCUGAAAGGCCA
rnacentral:lncRNA from 1 species